rnacentral:lncRNA from 11 species
CUUUUCUUUCUAUUAAAUAUCUCUCCAGGGUUCCAUAGCAUCCUUAUCUGCCUGUACUUCCUGAUCCGAAAGGACCCAGAAGACGACACUCUUCUUGGUACUCCAACACCUCAUUCUCAACUUUGCUGUUUUCAGUCACAAGUUCCUGGCACCAGAACAAGAGAGAGGGUUGGUGAGAGGAAGAGUGCAAAAAACGAUGCCAUGCCUUCACAAGCAAAUUUCGUUUUGUAGAAUCCUGGAUAAUCAGGAGGUCUCUUCUCUGUUCUGCUCAAUGGAAGAAGGGCAAGAAGAAAUGCAAUAACAGGAAUUGUUGGAUACUCUAUUAUUCCUAGUUGGGCAGAAGCCCAUUAUAUAUAGUCAGGUUUCACUAGGCAAUGUAAA